rnacentral:rRNA from 1 species
AACGAACGCUGGCGGCAUGCCUCAUACAUGCAAGUCGAACGCAGGCUUCGGCCUGCGUGGCGCACGGGUGGGUAGCGCGGGGGAACCUACCCUUUUUGGGGGGAUAACCGAGGGAAACUUCGGCUAAUACCGCAUACGCCGGGAAACCGGGAAAGAUUUAUCGCAGAAGGAUGGGCCCGCGGCGGAUUAGCUAGUUGGUGGGGUAACGGCCUACCAAGGCUACGAUCCGUAGCUGGUCUGAGAGGAUGAUCAGCCACACUGGGACUGAGACACGGCCCAGACUCCUACGGGAGGCAGCAGUGGGGAAUAUUGGACAAUGGGCGCAAGCCUGAUCCAGCAAUGCCGCGUGAGUGAAGAAGGCCUUAGGGUUGUAAAGCUCUUUCAGUGGGGAAGAUAAUGACGGUACCCACAGAAGAAGCUCCGGCUAACUCCGUGCCAGCCGCCGCAGUAAUAC